rnacentral:rRNA from 1 species
GACGAACGCUGGCGGCGUGCUUAACACAUGCAAGUCGAACGGAAAGGCCCUGCUUGCAGGGUACUCGAGUGGCGAACGGGUGAGUAACACGUGGGUGAUCUGCCCUGCACUUCGGGAUAAGCCUGGGAAACUGGGUCUAAUACCGGAUAGGAGCCAUUUUUAGUGUGAUGGUUGGAAAGUUUUUUCGGUGUAGGAUGAGCUCGCGGCCUAUCAGCUUGUUGGUGGGGUAAUGGCCUACCAAGGCGGCGACGGGUAGCCGGCCUGAGAGGGUGGACGGCCACAUUGGGACUGAGAUACGGCCCAGACUCCUACGGGAGGCAGCAGUGGGGAAUAUUGCACAAGGGGCGCAAGCCUGAUGCAGCGACGCCGCGUGGGGGAGGACGGCCUUCGGGUUGUAAACUCCUUUCGCUAGGGACGAAGCUUUUUGUGACGGUACCUAGAGAAGAAGCACCGGCUAACUACGUG